GUCUGGAACUGCACAUAAAACAAUAAUGAGGUGCAAUUUGCUUUCUGGUGGAACUUUGUGGUCUCGCAGCAAACCAAAAAAACAAAGAAAGACACUGUGGUCAUGGGCCUCUAAUGGAUGUUCGUGGAUCUUUCUGUGGGGAUUAUACGAGAGAGUUGCUGACUCACCAGAGAUGGUUGUCACGUAAAUAUUUCCAGACACAGCAGCUG